rnacentral:rRNA from 1 species
GUGCCAGCAGCCGCGGUAAUACGUAGGGUGCGAGCGUUAAUCGGAAUUACUGGGCGUAAAGCGUGCGUAGGUGGUUCGUUGUGUCUGUGGUGAAAUCCCCGGGCUUAACCUGGGAAUGGCCAUGGAAACUGGCGAGCUGGAGUCUGGCAGAGGGGGGUGGAAUUCCGCGUGUAGCAGUGAAAUGCGCAGAUAUCAGGAGGAACACCGGUGGCGAAGGCGGUUCUCUGGGCAUGAUCUGACGCUGAGGAGCGAAAGUGUGGGGAGCGAACAGGAUUAGAUACCCUGGUAGUCCACGCCCUAAACGAUGCGAACUGGACGUUGGGAGCAACUUGGCUCUCAGUGUCGAAGCUAACGCGUGAAGUUGACCGCCUGGGGAGUACGGCCGCAAGGUUAAAACUCAAAUGAAUUGACGG